CACAACGUGGAGGGAGAGAGAGGAGCAGGAGCGUCCCUCUCCGCUCUAAACCGCCCAAGUCUCCAAAGCCGCCUCGGCGUCCGCCGCGCACCAGGGAAGGCGGAGCGCAGCUUCCCGCCCGCGGCCCGACCCCCGACACCGUCAUCAGGAAGCACCACCGACUCCCAGUAACGCCGUACAGCUCAGGAAUGCGAUCUGCAGCAGGACCGUUAAAGCACAUCCCUGGAGGAGGGAGAAAAGUCUGACGAUAAAUUGGGGAACUUCAGAACCUUAGAAAGUAAUCGCAAGGAUCAAGGGGUUCAACCUUGUUUUUAAAGCAGAAACUGAGCAGAACCGGUGAUGGGAGAGAAGCUGGUCUAGAACCGAGACCGCCCGCCCCGUUCCUGACAGUGUGCAGGUACCUCAAUUUCAUGUUCCCCGAGCCUCCAAUUUCUGCAAUUAUUUCCAUAGUUCCACUAAACGCGGGAAGCAGCCACUUGCAGAGGAAAGAACCCAGAGUCCAUUCGGGAGACCCGAGACGUGCAGGCUCCGUGACCGUGGACUCCUUAGGAACCUCAGACCAACUCACCGCCCUGGGGUCCCUGGCCAGGGGCCAUGAGCCUUCUGGAACCCUCUCGGGUCCCCAGCCUGAUCAGAACACCCUCAGAACACAUCAGGUCUCCACACGAGCUCUGGUUAUAGCAGCCUGGAAGGUCUCCCAUCAUCGGGCUGGAGGACUGCAGUGGCAUCGACCGCCUGCGUCUCGUGGCCCUGGGCCCCCCCUCCUCGGGAAGGGAGCCGCGCCGACGGUCUUGUCAAAACAGACUCCGAUGUUCCUGCGCCCACUGGGCCGCUGGCUUGUGGUUGGUGGUGUUUCUGCGAGGCAACUCUUUGCCCUGCGUGUCCUCUGAAACCUGUCCUGGCAAAAAGUCCUGUUCCAGAGUCAGCACCUGCUUCUCCCGAGAAGUCGCACAGGGUUGAAAGGUGGGCCCUCACAUCCUACCCCAGGGCGGUCCCUUGGUUUAGGGACCAGAAGCUGAGUCCCUGAGGGCAGUGACUCCAGCCUGCAGUGGCCUUGGAGGACAGAGCCUAGCAGGCCAGCAGGGUCCUUGCUUCAUGCCCUGGCCUUGCCCUCCUCAGCCCCCGAGGCAGGGUGAGGUUGCCUGCAGGUGAAGGGAGCCGGCAGGGCUGUGUGUGAAGGUUGUUAGAAGUUUCUCAUUUCUUUGGGGCCUUUGCAUUUUCAGGAUAGCCACUCCGGCAGCAGGGAGCCAGGUGCAGGGGCCAGGCCAGCAGGACUGGAGGUGGCUGUCCCUCCAGGUCGUGACCACAGUGGCACAGGGAUGGCUCUUCCUUUGGGGUCUGUGCUCUCUCUUGAUUUUUUUUUUUCUUUUCAAAGAGUUUGUUUUGCAGAAUCUGUGUGGAAGGCUCUGCGGCCAUCCACGAUGGCAGAGCCAUGCUGUGCAAGGGAUGUGCUGAAAUGCCUGUCGUCUGUUCAUUACUUUUCUUUGUUUUUAACUUUUUAGGGCGGCGCCUGCAGCAUAUGGAGGCUCCCAGGCUAGGGGUGGAAUCAGAGCUGUGGCUGCCGGCCUGCACCACAGCCACAGCAACGCUGAGUGAGGCCAGGGAUUGAACCCGUGUCCUCUUGGAUACUAGUCAGGUUCAUUUUGGCUGAGCCACGACAGGAACUGCCAUCCUUUCAUUUCUGCUUUGCUGUCCUUCCUGGGAGUGUCUGAGGGGCCCCCGAUGGGGAAGCGGCAGGCAGCGUGGGGCAGGUCCUGACUUGGGUCUUGGGGGUGAGGGGAGCUGCCUUGUGGGGUGGAGGGAGCACAGCCCCCCUCCCUGGCGGGGGAGGCUCUUUCCCCCCAGGUUGGGCGUCUCUUGUGGAGGAUCACGUCAGCCACUUCAUGGCUCUUAUUUUUGAACCCGAUAUAGAAAAGAAGGAAAAACA
rnacentral:lncRNA from 1 species